rnacentral:rRNA from 1 species
UACCAGCUCUCCGAGUGGUAGGGAUGAUUAUUGGGCUUAAAGCGUCCGUAGCCGGCUUAGCAAGUUUCCUGUUAAACCCAGCGACUCAAUCGUUGGAUCGCGGGAAAUACUACUAGGCUAGGAGGCGGGAGAGGUCAACGGUACUUCUGGGGUAGGGGUGAAAUCCUAUAACGUCCCGGGAGGACCACCAGUGGCGAAGGCUGUUGACUAGACGCGCUCGACGGUGAGGGACGAAAGCGUGGGGUAGCAAACCGGAUUAGACUACCCGGGUAGUCCCAGCUGUAAACGAUGCGAGCUAGGUGUUGGGAUGGCUACGGGCCAUUUCAGUGCCGCAGGGAAGCCAUUAAGCUCGCCCGCCUGGGGAGUACGGCCGCAAGGCUGAAACUUAAAGGAAUUGGGCGGGGAGCACCACAAGGCGUGAAGCUUGCGGUUC